GGUGCAAAUGAUGGUUAAUAGCGAUCAAAGUAUGAAAAACUCUGAUUCCAAUUUAACAAACUUCUGAUGCACC
ensembl:snoRNA small nucleolar RNA Z17